rnacentral:rRNA from 1 species
UACGUAGGGUGCAAGCGUUGUCCGGAAUUAUUGGGCGUAAAGAGCUCGUAGGCGGUCUGUCGCGUCUGCUGUGAAAACUCAGGGCUUAACCCUGAGCUUGCAGUGGGUACGGGCAGACUAGAGUGCGGUAGGGGAGACUGGAAUUCCUGGUGUAGCGGUGAAAUGCGCAGAUAUCAGGAGGAACACCGGUGGGCGAAGGCGGGGUCUCUGGG